UAAGAAAAACAGCAUAUAGAGAGUUUGGUACUGUCUGCAGUUUGAGGCAACCACUGGGGGUCUAGGAACAUCUCCCAUUUGGAUAAGAGAGCCAUAGACUGUUGGGUCUACGAGGGACUGUGGUGAGCGCAAUUCUGAGAUUGCUCGCAAGAAUCCAGGCCUCGGAUGAGGAAGCUGGGGCCAGGGGAAGUGAAGAAAUGCAUCUUCCACUUUCUUAGUGACUCCCGUGGGCACUAUGCCCAUGUCCAGUGGUGCGGCCAUGGUGUGCAUAUGGGUCUCUUUCAAAUGACAGUUAUUUUUAAGGAAAGAAAACACCUGGCUUUCAGUGAGAGUAAUCAGAUAAAGCUGCUUAUGUUCACUGCAAACCUCCCCUGAGGUAAUGAGUGGGAGGCCCUCAGUGGAAAUGUCAGAAAGGCCAGCACUUUAUGCUUUAUUUUCUUUAUUCCCGGUCCAAAAUUAGAUGCAACUGGUGUGACUUCACAAGUGCUGUCCUCGGUCCCAAGCCGGGAUGUGGCCACUGUUUGCCAGGGAUCCUGCUGCAAAGGAUUCCAAAGCUUGGCUCCCAGCCCAGAUGCCCCUGCACUCCUGAGGCAGAGGCUCUGCAAGUCUUCUCCUUUCUCAUUCCCGAGGCUGGGGCUUCAUCCUUACAAAGUGUCCUUACAAACUCCUCCUUCCAAACCUGGCUUCUGAUGAGAGGGUGCAGAGAGAAAUUGGGCUUUGGAGGUAAAUGUAUUCUUCUCUGUAUUUCAUUAUCUCCUGGCACCUAGCACUAGAGCCAGCCUCGCUCAAUGGGCAUAAAAAUAAACAUUUACAUUUGACAGUUCAUUGGUAAAAUCUGAAUCUUGACCUCAAGGUUUGCCUCUUUGCAACUGGUCAAUCCAGGAUAGAUUCAGAAAACCACAGGAUGGGAUUUAGAGCAUCUAUGACCAUUAACUCAGACUUGGGCUAAUCUGAAUAGGCAGUUCUUAUCUAAAGGGAAACUCACACCACCAUCAUUCAUUUACAUUAAGCUGUCUCUCCAAACUCUAUGACUGGUAUAUCCAGUCUACUAGGUCCUCUAGAAAAUGCCUGAGCAGGCUGGGCAUCGUGGCUUACACCAGUAAUCCCAGCACUUUGGGAGGCCAAGGAGGGAGGAUCACUUGAGACCAAGAGUUCAAGACCAGCCUGGCCAACAUGGUGAAACCCCAUCUCUACUAAAAAUACAAAAAUUAGCCGGGUGCGAUGGUGCACGCCUGUAAUCCCAGCUACUCAGAAGGCUGAGGCAGGAGAAUCGCUUGAACAGGGAGGCAAAGGUUGCAGUGAGCGAAGACUGCCCCAGUGCACUCCAGCCUCGGUGAGAGAGUGGGACUCUGUCUCAAAUAAUAAAAUAAAAUAAAGAAAAAAAGAAAAUGCUUGAGCAAUAAAUACAUAAAUAAUAAUAAUGUAUAAUUUAUACUCUGAAAUAGCUUAUAGGCAAUAAAAUACAGACUAGAGCUAAAUGACAUAAUUUGAGAUAUAGACAAAAUCUACUAUGUAAUGUCCUAAGCCAGAAGAAACACUGUGUGCUGAAGUUGAUUGAGCAUUUUUGUGGAAGACCUAAAACUUGAAAUGGAUCUUGAAGAAAUAUUCAGUUUUACAAGCUUAUUCUUACUUCAGAUAGACAUAUGGAGAAAUGGAUCCAUUAAAGAAAAUUUGGAAAGAAGAGAAGAGAUUUAAGGAGGCAAACGUUUCUUACAGUCCCCCAAUCCUUAAAUAUCCAUAUGUAACAACCAGGACAAGGUAGCCCAUUAUCUUGGUUUAUUCCAUGUAUCUCAACCAGAAUUUAUCCUCCAUCAGGCACUAAUACAGUUUUGAGAUGUCUUAAAAAUUAAGCACAAUUAGGAAUAAGAAAACAUUUUUAAAAGUAUAAUAACCCUUCUAACGCCAAGUAAAAACCUAUUGCUUGACUUCAGCUUAUUGAUUUUCUUCUUCUUAGCUUCCUUGUUACCAAGGCAAAAGAGAAAAAGCAUUAACUUACAUUUCUGCUACUUUCUGAAGACAAACUUUCUGCUUUAUUUAUCAGCUUUAUCCUGUUACUGAAUUCAAAUGAGAAUGCAGUCAGGAAAACCAGGUAACAUAAUGGACAAUGCAUUUAAAUACACAUUUUUAAAACAUGUAGACAUGUUGUCCAAAUGGAUGAGUGUAUACCUCUCAGUUAUAUUAGUUGCCUGCAAAAUUAUUAUUACUAUGUUAUAAUACAGUGUGUGUUUGUUGUCAUCCAAUGUUCCGGCUUCAUCUAGCAAAAAAUCAUUAAAAAUCCAUGGUACUGUCAGUGAAUGUGUGCAUUAGAUAGCCCCUCUCAAAUAUCACAUAUCUCAAGUGGACCUUCACCAGGCGCUGGAUUGCCAUUUAUCCAUAUAUGAAUUCUCCAGCCUCAGCUUGCAGCACGGAAAUUCUUCGUGGCUCAUUAACAUACAGGAGUCUUAUGUGUUACACACCAGUCAUGCAUGAGGAAGAGCUGUCAUUCUGAUGUGUAAGACUAAAAUUUAGCACAGUGAACUGCAGGGGAAUCUGAAGGACAGGAAUUAAAAGUAAUGAGAUCUCACUUUUCAAACUAAAAUAGUCUCCUCCAUAUUAUGGGACAUAGAAAUCCAGACUGUCAAACACAUGGUCCAGUCAAGGGAAAGUGCUCAUCAAAUUCUCAUUAAUUUAUUUACUGAUUGUACUGACUCAGUCUGAAUAUAAUUGCAUAUUAGUGGAUCACAAGAAUGAGUAAUAUAUAAAAUUCAUAGCCGAACAAUCUAAUAAAUUUUCCUGGGACUGUUGUCUAUUUAAGUCUCUCAGUAUAUCCAACUACAACAAUUUAAUUUUCAUCUAUUUGAGUCUGUGAAGCUUAAUUCAAACUGCACUGGCUUUGAAUUUUAAAAUGGUAGUGAUUGCAACCAAUAUAUUUCUCUGAAAGGAGAACCAAUCUAGGGCUUUGAUAAAAAUGCUGUCUAUUCUCCCCCUCAACCCUAGACCACAGGGCGGGGGCAGGCAUUUCUCCUUCACGCUGUUGAAGGGUAGAACUUUUCAAGAACGCGGGAGAAGUCAGAGCCAGUUUUUGAACACAUAGUAAGGGUGCUGAUUGGAGGGUCAUUUCUUCUCAAGAAAAUUACUCACAAAGCUGCUUUAUUGGGGUGGUUUGUUUAAAUAUUUUUUUCUUUCUUUCUCUCAAUUGCUUAUGUCCUGAGAAAUGAACUUGACGCAGAAACCAGGGCUGUAGAUACUAGUGACUACCUCCUUUAUCCAGGGUGGCUUUUGCUGUGUAAUCUUUCUCUGUCCAUCUUCCUGUGCUCUAGGAAUCCUGUCUCCUCAGAUGUUCCUACGAAGAAGUAAACUAUCUCGAAGAAGUAAACUAUCUCUGAGAAGUCUCAAUGUUGAACUUUAUUCUGGAGAGACAGGAAAGGCCUAUAAUUAGAGCAAUGCUUGAGUUUAUAUCUACUGUCUGACAAAUUGACUUUACUAUAAAUUAGCUAAAUUCCAAAACCAUUUUCAGAAAUAAAAAUAUCUUCCAAAUUUAAAAUGAGUUGUAAAUGUAUAUUAAGAUUAAUUAAACAUCCUUUGUAUUGUUUUUAUACAUAUUUUAAAAGUAACAUGGGCAGAGUAAUUAUGUCUGGAACAUGCUCACUUCUCUGGGUACUGAGGUCCUAGUGAUCGCAGAACAAAUUCUGCUAAGUGAACAAUAUUCUCAGUUUUCUUUAUUUUUGCUUAAUUUAUGCUAGAUUUUCUAAUUUUUUUUUUUACAAAAUAAAACACAUAAAAUUCUUUGGUAAAUUAACAAAUUUGUAUGCUACAGAUCAUUGACCAUUUCCAUGUUAUUCUAUUCCACUGCAGAAAAUAAAUGUAUCCAUUAAAAAUGCUGAGAUAUUAAAAAGUACAAUUAUGGAAUUUCAAAAUUAUAUUUUUACACUAUUUGAGGUUGCUCCAUUUUAUUUAUCAGGUUUCUUGCUUUUGAAGGAAUAAACUUCAGCCCCUUCUCCUUGCAUGGUUUACUUUCAAUUACAAUUUACUAAAAGCUAUAAAAUCUAAAGUUAUUCUUGUCAUAUUGGGUGUUGAAAAUUUUUGAAUAAAAUGAUUUGCACCUGAGAACAUUUAAAAUCUAGUCUUUAAGAAAUUUUGAAAUAUACAAUGCAUUAUUAUUAAUUAUAGUCACCAUUCUGUGCAAUAGAUCACUAAGGCUUAUUCUUCCUGGCUAGCCAAAAUUUUGUAACCUUGGAUCAACAUCUCCCUUUUUCCCAUCCACCCUCCUCUCCUGCCUCUGAAAACCACCAAAUUGGUAAGUGUAUUAGGUGAUGGAGAUGUUAAUUAGCUUGCUUAAAUCAUUCCACAAUGUAAGCAUAUAUCAAAAUAUUACAUUGUACCCCACAAAUACAUACAACUAUUAUUUGUC
rnacentral:lncRNA from 1 species